rnacentral:lncRNA from 1 species
AGAGGGCAGUGUUAUACUAGGAGAAGCCACUUGGAGAUAAUGCCAGAGGUCAACAAAGUAAAAGAAUAGAAGUGAAAAU